rnacentral:rRNA from 1 species
CAGUCGCCGCGGGAAAACAGAGGGUGCAAGCGUUAAUCGGAAUUACUGGGCGUAAAGCGCGCGUAGGUGGUUUGUUAAAUUGGAUGUGAAAGCCCCGGGCUCAACCUGGGAACUGCAUCCAAAACUGGCAAGCUAGAGUACGGUAGAGGGUGGUGGAAUUUCCUGUGUAGCGGUGAAAUGCGUAGAUAUAGGAAGGAACACCAGUUGCGAAGGCGACCACCUGGACUGAUACUGACACUGAGGUGCGAAAGCGUGGGGAGCAAACAGGAUUAGAUACCCGUGUAGUCCCUGUCUCUUAUAC